GAUGAACGCUGGCGGCGUGCCUAAUACAUGCAAGUCGAGCGAACAGAUAAGGAGCUUGCUCCUUUGACGUUAGCGGCGGACGGGUGAGUUACACGUGGAUAACCUACCUAUAAGACUGGGAUAACUUCGGGAAACCGGAGCUAAUACCGGAUAACAUAUUGAACCGCAUGGUUCAAUAGUGAAAGGCGGCUUUGCUGUCACUUAUAGAUGGAUCCGCGCCGUAUUAGCUAGUUGGUAAGGUAACGGCUUACCAAGGCAACGAUACGUAGCCGACCUGAGGGGGUGAUCGGCCACACUGGAACUGAGACACGGUCCAGACUCCUACGGGAGGCAGCAGUAGGGAAUCUUCCGCAAUGGGCGAAAGCCUGACGGAGCAACGCCGCGUGAGUGAUGAAGGUCUUCGGAUCGUAAAACUCUGUUAUCAGGGAAGAACAAAUGUGUAAGUAACUGUGCACAUCUUGACGGUACCUGAUCAGAAAGCCACGGCUAACUACGUG
rnacentral:rRNA from 1 species